UUUUUUAAUCUAUUUUCUAAUGAAAAAACACCCGAUAUCUUGAUUUCUCCUUCUAAUAAACCCGUAACAAAGUUUUUUGCUGCCUUUCAAAAACUUAUAUAAGAUUUUAUAUAUAUAAGUGGCUCAAGCGUGUAAGGUCAUAUACUCACUUCACUUCGAAAGUUCAAAUUAACAACGUUGGUCCCUCGUUUCCAAUGGUGCUACCCCCUUGGACCUCCUUCUUCCUCGGCAUCAUCGUGCUGGCCAUCGCACUCUUUCUGUUAUCCAUUCUCCACCGCCGCCGCCACCCCUCUGGCAAUAGCAAGUACAACCUCCCACCGGGCCCUCGACCAUGGCCGGUGAUCGGCAACCUGAACUUGAUCGGCCCACUCCCGCACCGGUCCGUCCACGAGCUCUCCAAGCGCUACGGCUCGCUCAUGUCCCUGCGCUUCGGCUCCCUCCCCGUCGUCGUCGCCUCCUCCGUCGACAUGGCCAGGUUCUUCCUCAAGACGCACGACCUGGCGUUCAUCGACCGCCCUCGUACCGCGUCCGGCAGGUACACCGGCUACAACUACUCCGACAUGCUGUGGUCGCCCUACGGCGCGUACUGGCGGCAGGCGCGCAAGUUCUGCAAGGCCGAGGUGUUCAGCGCGGCGCGGCUGAGGUCGCAGGAGCACGUCCGGGCGGCGGAGGUGCGCGCCAUGCUGCGCGACCUGUACGCCGCUGGGCCGGCGGCGGCGCCGGUGCGGCUCAUGGACCACCUGUUCCAGCUGACCAUCAACGUGAUCUCGCUCAUGGUGCUGGGCGAGAAGCACGCCGUCGCCGUCGAUGGCGACGGCAGGUCGGCGGCGGGCGGUGGCUUGCCGGCGACGCCCGAGGCGUUCAAGUGGAUGAUCGAAGAGUUCUUCUUGCUGAGCGGCAGGCUCGACGUCGGGGACAUGAUCCCCUGGCUCAGAUGGCUGGACCCGCAUGGGCACGUCAGGAGGUUGAAGAGGCUUAGGGAGAUGUUCGACCAUUUCCUGGACAAUGUUGUGGACGAGCACAGCGAGCGGCGGUGGCGAGAGGGCGACGCGUUCGUCGCCAUGGACGCGGUGGACCUGCUGCUGGAGCUCGCCGACGAUCCCAAUCUAGAGGUCCCAAUCCAGCGAGAUGGCAUCAAGGCAUUCACGCUGGUGAGACCUACUACCUAUGUUUUUCUAAAGGCUGAACUGUAAACAGUCGGGUCACCUGCCGUUUAGCCAUUAUUCAGACUAAACAGUCCAUUAAACGAGCUAAACGGUCAAUUAAACGGACUAAAACGAAUGAUUAAACAGAAACGAUAUAUAACGUUUACAUAGCGUUUAAACGGUCUAAACGGCCAUUUAGACAAACAGUGACUAACAGUCUACCACUACCACUGUUCACAAUGCAUGCCAUGCUUUCACUUCGAUUGCAGAACCUCCUUGUCGGAUUGCCGGACACGACGUCGGUGACCGUGGAAUGGGCCAUGUCGGAGCUCCUGAGGAACCCCGACGCGCUCGCCACGGCCACCGAGGAGCUGGACCGCGUCGUCGGCCGCGAGCGCCUCGUCGUCACGGAGGGGGACAUCCCGAGCCUCCCGUACAUGGAGGCGGUCGUGAAGGAGACGAUGCGGCUGCACCCGGUGUCGCCGCUGCUGACGCCCCGGCUGUCGCGCGAGGACGUCGUCGUGUCCGUGGGCGGGCACGGGCACGGGCACGGGCACGACAUCCCGGCGGGCACGCUGGUGUUCGUCAACGUCUGGGCCAUCGCCCGCGACCCCGCCGUGUGGGGGCGGACCGCCGGCGAGUUCCGGCCGGAGCGGUUCGUCGGGAGCGGCGUGGACGUGAAGGGGCAGGACCUGGAGCUGCUGCCCUUCGGGUCCGGCCGCCGGAUGUGCCCCGGCGUCUCGCUCGGGCUGAGGAUGGUCCAGGUGAUCCUCGCCAACCUCGUCCACGGCUACGCGUGGAAGCUCCCGGACGGCGUCGCCGGGGAGGAGCUGAGCAUGGAGGAGACGUUCGGGCUGUCCAUGCCGCGCAAGGUCCGGCUCGACGCCGUCGCCGAGCCAAGGUUGCCGGCGCACCUGUACCUGUACGCCGGGCCAUGACCAUGAUGCAUGCCCGCAAUGCACGUUUAGCUUUGCUGCUUCCUUUUUGUCUAAUUUAUGCAUAUUUCUGGAGUACAGUACAGGCAUGUGAUGCCGUGUGCCGUCUGUUGUUGUUUGUCUCUGUCCUUCAAUGCGUUUAAUUUCAUCCUGUAAUUGGCACACUUUAUCUUCGUGCAAAUAUAUAAUUACCAUUACUUCUGAAAGGAUGUCAUUGGACUCCAAGAUGUCUUUGGAAUGGUACGGUGGCCAAAAUUGGGGUCACAUGCAAGUUAUUUAGCACUGCAUAGUGAGGGAUAAUAUUUUUUGCAAAAUUUUUUAGAAACUAAACAAGGCCUUAACCUCCAUUAUAUUAUUGUCUCGCUCUCGCAGUGUUCAUGUACAGCAAUGAGAUCCACACGGUGGCCCAGGUGAGCAAGAACGACUUCGUGGCGUGCAACCUGCAGGGCAACAGCAGUCAGUUCAAGUUCUGGAACUCCGGCAACGACGUCGUGACGCUGGACAAGCCCGGCAAGAUGUGGUUCAUCUGCACCAAGCACAACCACUGCCGCAAGGGCAUGAAGCUCGCCAUCGACGUCGUCGACCGCACCGUCGUCGUCGCCCCAUCCCCAGCCCCGCUCCCGGGAACUGCCCCGCCUCCCCCACCUCCUCCGUUCGGUUGGCCGUCGACCCCGGCCCCGCCGCCCCCACCUCCGUUCGGUUGGCGGUCGACACCGGCGCCGCCUCCGCCGCGGUCUGUGGCCGUGAGGAACGCGGUCGGCGGCGCGGUGGCCGCGGCGGCAGCCGCCGUGGUCGCGGCCGCGCUCGCGUUCUAGGGCCGCCCUCUCAAUACCUGCUGUGACGACCGUGCACGCGUUGUAGCAUUGUUACUUGCGUUGCAUGAGUGGUGGCACUAGGCAGAGUGAUUUGGAUUUGUUUACUGCUGCUGUUCGUGCUUGGACUAGGCAGCAUUAGCAAGAGUUUAGAGCUAUUUAUUUAUAUGUAUCAGGGGCCUCCUAGUCAUUUGUGUCUCACUCAGAGUGAUUUUUUUUCUUUUUUUUUGAAAAUGUGUUUCAGGUGAUAUGAGUUUGUCGGUCUGCUAUAUUGCCGGCCGGCAUUGAUAAGUUUAUUCUAAUAAAGUUUAACUCUUCAUAUUUUAUUGACCACAUAUAUAAAAUCAGAGUGUGUGCGUGAUAUGCAGAUGCAUAGAAAAUACUAUGUAAUCUAGAACUGCUAAAAUAGAUUGAUAUUUCAUAUAUACGUUUCACGAUAUAUAUGUCUGUUUCAUAAUCGGAGUCCACAGUAGGAGUAAUUAAUAUUGCUACUAUGUACUUUUGCUCAUCAGGAGAUCAACAAGACAUGCAUUAAAUGCAAGUGUGUGUAAUAUGUUUACAAUUUAUUCAGAGGGUGAUGAGUUAGAACAAGUGUCUCCAAGGAGAUAAUGGAUCAUAUGGAUUCUCAAAGCAUCUCUAGCGGUACCCUCAAACUAGCCCCGUAAACUAAAAUUUGAGGGCUUUCGUCGGGUGAAAUGAAAUCAAAGUAUCCAUAACUAGAUGAUGGAACCCCUAACAAAAAUCAAACUAAGCAAAAGGAUAUCUAUGCUACUAAAUGCUAAGAGCAAACGCCUAAGCUCACUAAAGAUGAACAAGAGUGAACUAGAACUUGAACUAAGCAAAACUAUAUUACUAAAUAAAAUACUAACAAUAAAAUAUUAGAUAAAGUAAAUGCUAAAUGAAAGAAUACAGAGGAGCUAUACCAGACCCAGAAGACUCUUUUGGACUUCAAAGAAAGCUCCGCUCUAGCUCUACUUCCACUACUAGCUAAUUAAGUUACUACUUCUAAAGCUACUACUAAGCUUAAGAGGUUGGAGAGGCUUGGAUGCUUGUGAACUGAGGGGGAUGAUCUUCAUGACCUCCACACAUCCUUUAAUUUUAUAGUGUAUAGAGGAGGUAGGGCCGUAGAGGUACUUGUAGGCCAUCAAGUGAGGCGGUGGAUUGGAGCUUCCUUGGGCAUCCGACAAUGUUCUUAUGGUGUGUUUGUUCGCUGCACAGGAAAGGGAUGAACGACCACGGGAAUCUUUCUCUUAAUCAAAAUUGGGCACACACCUGGUCACGAAAAAAAAACGACCACCGGAAUGAAUUUGGGCUAGCUAUAGCUUAACAAAACAUUAACCAUUGUAGAAAGAAUUGUCAGUUAUUUUUUAUAUUGAUGAAAUUGUGGAUGAUAAAUAUAUAACCGCCAAGAAGCCGAGGCAUUGCAACAACAACUAGUUUCGGUGGCUUCUUGACUAUGGAAAACAGUAGAUGGUUUUGUGAUAGGACUGUUGUAGCCCACUAAUGUUUGUUCAAAUGACACAAUUUGCUGCAUAAUCAGUUUAAGGGAAUUUAAUUCCUCUAAACAACGAAUGUACAAAAAAAUCCGGUAUAGAUUAAGAAAAAAAAUAUUAAAAAAGGUGAGCUCAGAUACGCAUCUUGUCGUCCGCACAAUCAGACGGGCUGUGAUGGACCCAACCAAUCACGGUGAGCGCAGAAAUCCGUCAUUGCUCUGGUGUGAGAGAGGCUUGAACUCUCGACCUCAGGAUCACUCGCAUUUCCAGCUGGGACCUACGCGCUAGCCAACUGCGCCACCACCCCGUUCUUGUCUACGUUCCUGCACGAGACCCUAUCUACGGCCAUUUGCCCAUCCACAUUCCACGACCAUAUUUCCUCUCUUCAUUCAUCCUUGUACAAAUUCAAAGCAAAGAAAAUUGUUUUGUCAUAUUUUGUAGCGUCCGUUUGCGACGUGCAUGCAUGCCAAGAAGAGCUGUUAACGUAUAUCCACAAAAUUUGGGUUCUCUUUAUGCACGACGAUGUUAGUGCAUGUGGGCGUGUGCCGCUAGCUGCCGGUGCCGGCCGGGGGCUUAUACGGCGCCUUGCCGACGGCGCGCGGCGAGGAUCUUGUCGUCGAGGUCGAAGGUCAUGGCCUUCUCCCCGUGGCCACUAGCGCGCGUACUCGGCGUACCAGUACUCCUUGAGGUCCUCCGGCAGGUUGGUGCUGCAAUGACCAAGUUAACAACUCCAAUGACAAAUGGCGUCAAGCUUGACACCAAUGACAACGGCGCUAAGAUGCAUAUUAUGUCAGCUCCACGUAUUUGUUGGUGUAACGAUUUUGGCGUCAAUGGCGACGACGCCAAGCUGAGGGUCUAUUUUUUUAAAAUCAUUCCACCAAGAUGCAUUUGAGAGAAUUUUUCAAAAAAAAAACUAAAAAAAUAAAAAAGAUGGCCUUCACGACCUCCACACCUCUAAUUUUAUAGUGUGUAGAGGAGGUAGGGCCGUACGAGUACUUGUAGGCCACCAAGUGAGGCAGUGGAUUGAAGGGCGGGUUUGUUCGCUGCAUAGGUAAGGGAUGAACGAACACUGGAAUCUUCCUCUUAAUGAAAGUUGGCACACACUUGGUAAAAAAAAAAAACGACCGGAAUGAAUUUGGGCUAUUGGUAUUAUAGCUCUCAACAAAACGUUAACCAUUGUAGAAAUAAUUGUCGCUUAUUUUUUUAUAUUGAUGGAAUUGUGGAUGAUAGAGAAUAUAUGACCGCCAAUUAAGAAGCCUGGCCACUGCAACAACCAAGUUAACUGUUUUAUAUGACGUCGUAAAUACAGUACACUAUGAUUAUAACCCAACAAGAAGCUAAUUAAGACAGAUAUAGCCAGGUUAUUACACGAGACAGAAGAAGCCAUGGAGCUGUCAGCAAAACAAAUUAAUCGCCAGGAAAGCGUCACCAAUCCGCUGGAACCCGUUGGGGCUGGGGGCGCGCGACGAACCGUCAGGGGGAAACACGAUGUGGCUGCCACCUGCCAUGGAUGCCCUCCCUGCGAUGCCGCCCUGAUGCCGUGGCAAACUUCACCUCGCUUUUAUCAGCUGCAUAGAGAGAAACAAACAGUGCAUUCCUGUGGCGCUAGCGCUAACGAUGCCCUUCGCUGCUGCUAGCUGCAGACGAUCGAGCGGCUCCCCUGCAGACGAGUGGCGCUACGUACCUCAUCACAACAGCAUGUUGGAUUGGAUCUAGUACUGUGAUUGAUGCGCCACUGAUGUGCCUGCUUUAAUUUCUGCUGUAUAAAUAGACACGAGUGUCACUCCUGCUUGCCAAGCAACAUCAGCAGCUGCAGCAGAAGCAUCCUUAAUUCGUUAGCUGCUCGCCGGCUGGGACGGCGACGAAACGGCAACGACGACGACCAAUGGCGUCCUCCAAGCAAGUGCUGCUCCUGGCCGCGGUCGUCGCCGUCGCGUGCCUCCUCCCGUCGCUGGCCUCUGCCAGGCAGUGGGUGGUCGGGGACGAAUGCGGCUGGAAGGCCAGGUUCAACCAUACCCACUGGGCCAACGGCAAGACGUUCGUCGUCGGGGACACCCUGCGUACGCACGAGACCAUCCACAAUAUAACACCAUCACCAUAUAUAUAUAUAUAUAUAUAUAUAUAUAUAUAUAUAUAUAUAUAUAUAUAUAUAUAUAUCGUUGGAGUUAAUUAACCCCCACACUGUUGUCUCGCAGUGUUCAAGUACCGCAAGGGGAAACACAAUGUGGUCCAGGUCGGCGAGGAAGACUUCGCUACGUGCGGCCAUGACGAGAACCAUCGGACCAGGUGCUCCGGCCACGACGUCGUGCAGCUCGACAGGCCCGGGAGGAUGUUUUUCAUCUGCACCAAGCACAACCACUGCCGCAAGGGCAUGAAGCUCGCCAUCGACGUCGUCGUCGCCCCACCCCCACCACCGCUCUCGUACCCGUUCCCGACAACUUCCCCGCCGCCCCCACCUCCGUUCGGUUGGACGUUCCCGGGAACUCCCCCGCCGCCACCUCGGUACGGUUGGCCGUCGACCCCGGCCCCGCCCCCACCUCCGUUCCGUCGUUGGCCAUGGACCCCGGCGCCGCCGCCGCCGCCGCCGGCGCGGUCUGCGGCUGCGGCUGUGAGGAACCCGGUCAGCGGCGCAGUGGCCGCCGCGGCGGCCGUUGUGGUCGCGGCCGCGCUCGCGUUCUAGGGCCGCGCGCUGUCAAUACCUGCUGUGACCGUGCACGCGUUGCAGCAUUGUUAUUACUUGCGUUGCAUGGCUUUUUUCUUUCCAGUGUGGUGGGAGGAGCACCGGCUUUGGUUUGCAUUUGUUUACUGCUGCUGUUCGUGCUGGGACUAGGCAGCAUUAGCAAGAGUUUAGAGCUAUAUUUAUGUAUCAGGGGCCUGCCUAGUUAUGUGUCUCAGUCAGUCAGGGUGAUCCUUUUUUUGUUUUUGUUUUGCGAAUGUGUUUUAGGUGAUAUGAGUUUGUCAGUCUGCUAUAUUGCCGGUCGGCAUUAGUAAGUCGUUCAUUCAAAUAAAGUUUAACUCUUCAUAUUUUAUUGACCACCUAUAUAAAAUCAGUGUGUGUGCGGCGUGGGCGCUUGUGCAGUGAAUACUCUCUCAGUUUUAAAUUUAAGUCGUUUUAGCUUGUCUAGAUUCAUAGUUUUUACGAUGCACCUAAAUAUACGUGAUGUCUAGAUAGAAAUGCUAAAUGUCUCAAUUUUUGGAACGGAUUAAUAUUUCAUAUAUGUUUUACAAUAUAUAUCCAUUUCGUAAAUUGAAGUCCACAAUAGGAGUAAUUGCUACUAUGUUAUUCCUGUAUUCCAAAUUAUAAGUUAUUUCAAGAAUCUUAGAGAGUCAAUACAUAUCAAGUUUCACCAAAAUUAUAGAGAAAAUUAUAAAGAUUUAUAACAUCAAAUGAGUAUACUAUGAAAAUAUAACUAAUAAAGAAUCUAAUGAUACUUAGUUGAUAUCAUAAGUAUUAUUAUAUUCUUAUAUAAAUUUGGUCAAACUUAUAAUACUUUGACUCUCCAAAAUUCUUGGAAUGAUUUAUAAAUUGGGAUGGAGGGAGUACUUCUGCUCAUCAGGCGGUCAACAAGACAUUAAAAUGCAAGUGUCGCAUAUGUGUACAAUUUAAUCACAGUUAGGACAUUGAUGAGUUGUAACAUGUGUCCAGGUAGAUAAAUUUGGAUCAUAUGGAUCCUCAGGGCAUCUCUAGGAAGGCCCUCAAACUAGCCCCUUAAAUUAAAAUUUGAGGGCUUUACAUAACAACACAGUUCCAACAACGCCUCUACUCAAGUCCUCAAAUUUGGGUGGAUCUCAAACUAGCCCCAUUAGCCCCUAUCCGGCGGUUGUUCGUUUUUUUUCUCGCUCCCACGCCUGCUCUCUUCCCUCCACACGUCCUCCACUCCUCAGGUCAUAGUGCCCCUCCUCCACUCAGACCCAGUUGGAGCGACUCCCUCUCCUGCGUCUAGAUCCCAUUGUGGCACCCCUCCUCCUAUGUCUAGCCGUUAGGUCCAAAUGGCUAGAGAAGGGAGAUGAAUAGCCUAUUUAAAAUUCUUUAAGUUUAACUAAACAAGUAUGUUAGUAAUACAAAUAGCAUAGCAAUUCUAGCACUAGCACAAUUAAGCUAUGCAAGGCACCUAAACAAGUCUAGUACAAGGCUAAACACUAAACCACACCAACAAGAGAAGGCAACACUAAGCUCUACUCCUAAACAAGAAAACAAGGCUACACAAGCUAAACUAGCAAGGUAGGCAAGUAAGUAAACGAGUGUGUAAAGAUUAUUAUACCGAUGUUGAUGAGUAGAGAUAUGUCCAAGAAUCAAUCACAAUUGCAUAUACAAGAUGAAAUCCUCGACACGAGAUGACACAUGAUUUUUUUUAUCAAGGUUCACUUGCUUCUCGGCAAGCUAGUCCUCGUUGUGGCAAUGCACUCACUUGAUGUAUCAUGAGCUAAUUGGCAAUCCAAAGCCAAACCCUUAGCGGGUGUCGCGCACACAUCCACUCAUAAGAUAGGGAUCCUCCAAGCCACGAGCAAUCCACUAGAGUAGCCAAUUGCAAUCUCCCACGGGGGAGGCUCAAGAACCCCUCACAAAUCACUUGGUGAUGCUCGAAACAAUCUCCAAUCACGAGCUCAACACCUCUGCUGCUCCAAACCAUCUAGGGUGUCAGAAAACACCCAAGAGUAACAAGAAAUCAGCAGCCAACUCAAGGAUCAAGUGCUACUAAAUGCAACUCAAAGCAAAGCACUUGAAUCUCACUCAAUCGCACUAGGAUGAGCAAUCAAGUAAGGAGAUGAGUGGAAGGGAUGUUCUCUAGCUCAAAGUAUGCCUCAAGUAUUUAGAUGUGCAAGAGAGAAGGCCCCAAACAGGGCCACCUUCUAUUUAUAACGUUUCACUCAAGAGCUAGCCGUUAGGAGCAAAUUCGGGAGCGUAAGAUGCUUUGACGCUUGCUCGUUGGACGUGGCCCAGCGUCCGAUGCUUGCCUGCCAUGCGCGUUAGAUCGCUGCCACAUGUCCCUCUUUGAAUGUGAACCGCUGAUCACCAACGGUCACUAAAGCAUUGACAAACUUUUGGAGCACGUGUCGGACGCAUCGGAUGCGUCAUCUCACACUAGACGCUACUCAGAGAGUUUCAAAAACUCUCUGGGACACGUCGGACGCGUCUGUUGGUGUGGCAUCGGACACACGCCAGCAUCCGACGCAUUGAACAUCGAAACCCUACUGCUACAGUGCAAGUAUCGGACGCACCGACGCUGAAGCGUCGGACGCUUCGGCGCAUAGAAGAAAAACGCCCUUCUGCAUUGCACGACGCUAUUUGAUCGCACGACUUUUCUGAAACUUUCCUUCGACGUCAUAGAAAAUAUGCAUUUUAUUUUCUCAAAAGCGUUGAAUCCCGGGUUUUGGCGCUUUUGAGAAAAUAAAAUGCAUAUUUUCUAUGGUGUCGGAGAAAAUCCCGCCUCGCAAGCUCGUCGGUAGGGAGAGAGGAUCCCAAACCCCUCUCUAUCUCUCAAACUUUAUCUCCUUUGCAAAUGUGCUAGCCUCCGUAAAUCAAUUUUAAGAGACAAAUAAAUUUUGAUCACCUCCAUAAAUAAAACAAAUGCCUCCAUAAAUCAAUUUUAAGAGAUGGACAAUUCCUGACUGCCUUCAUAUAAAAUGUCUACCUCCUGAAUUUGUGCUCACCUCUGAAAAUAAAAAUAGUCUAUCUCCUAAAAUUAUUUUUGUAGUUGUGUGAGGUGAUUAUUGAAGUUGUUUCAAGGAAUCUCACUGGAGGGUCUCGUGGCAGGGUGCCCCGCAGCGCUCUUUGCCGCUAUCGGCGACCACCAAACUGCAUAGGUUGCUCGCGGCGUCCGUGCCUUGCUCAUGUGAAGGGGGAAAAAGGAAGGUGAAUAGAAGAAAGAGAGGCUAUCGAGUGGGUCUCGCUUAUCAUUGUGUACAAAAAUAGAUUUGGGGACCUAAAUUCAGGUGCUACUGGUAGAGUGGAAGCAAAAAUUGAGCAAUAAAAAAUAGGGGACAACACCUAAAUUAAAAGUAGGAGCCCUGAUUUGGGUGCCCUCCCUAGUAGAGUUGCUCUUAUUAAGCCAAUGUUGCUACUGAAUCAAUUUAUUAUUUUUCAUACAGACGCAGUGGUUUCUUUUUUUUUUUAAAAAAAAGUUUGCAUCUUAAUUAUGGGAAUUAAGGCUCCUUUUAACUAAAAUUUUAAUGUAUUUAUGUUUGGCUGAAGUUUAAUAUGGUCAAGCAUGAGUGUAUGAGGCACCAAGUUACAUUGUUGCUUUCUAUAAAAAUUGAGUAUAACCCGCUCCUGUCAAAACAUUGAAUUAGCAAGACAUCAAAAGAAAGAUUUUCUAAUCCAUUAAAAACACUCAAAUACCAAAAUGAACAGAUCCGGUUCAAUUUUUCACUAAGGCUAAGGGUAAAAAAAAGCAGCCCCAAUCACAAUGGCAAAAUUGUGAUUUUUUUGGCAAUUUUUAUUUAAAGAAGUAAAAUAAUCUUGUAUGAGAGUACAUGCAAGAGGGGCAACCCUAUCAUUUGAACGAAGUGUAGACAGAAAUACCUAAUAUGGAGUGACAAUAAAGAGACCCAUCUAUCUACAAAUUCGAUUUGUUCAAUAGACCUUUGUCAAUGGAAAUACAAUGUAAUUAGAUAUAAAAAGGAAAUAAAAUAGGGACUUUUGUUGGAUUGGCACGAUAUAAAUGCAGCAAAAAAAAAUAGGACUAAGAAAGAGGCAAAUUGUGUCUAAAUAAUUAAGGGGUACUAAGGACCCUCUCCUACUUUUUUAUUCAUUUAGUUCUUCAAUUAACUCAAAGUUCUUUCUUUAUCUUUAAAGAAUUCUGCCUUCCUUAAAAUAUCAUAAACAGUUCUUGUAGGUUGAGCACCCUUUUCAAGGAAAUAGAGAAUAGCUGGAACAUUUAAACAAGUUUGAUUCUUUAUCGGAUCAUAAAAACGUACUUUUCGAAGAUCUCUUCCUUCUCUUUGAGAUCGAACAUCAAUUGCAACGAUUCGAUAGAUAGCUUAUUGGGAUAGAUGUAGAUAAACAACCCCCCCCUAGAAACGUAUAGGAGGUUUUCUCCUCAUACGGCUCGAGAAAAUGAUUCGAAUUUCUGUCUAUAAUGCAAAUAGAUAGAAAUUCGAUUAUGACUUGCAUUAAUUUCCUUAAAGAAAAUAAAAAACAAAUUUCAUUUAUACUCAUGACUCAAGUUGGCUAAUUUUGACUGACAAACUUCAAAAGAAAAACCCUUCGAAAUUUUUUGAGUCGUCUCUAAACUCUUUUCUUUAUCUCAUCUCGAACAAAUUGACUUUUAUUCCUUAUUCUGAUCUAAUUCUAUUGUUGAGACGGUUGAAAAUUGUGUUUACUUGUUCCGGAAUCCUUUAUCUUUGAUUUGUGAAAUCCUUGGGUUUAGACAUUACUUCAGGAACUCCUAUUCUUUUUUCUUUCAAAAGAGUAGCAACAUACCCUUUCUUUUUUCUUAUUUCCUUCGAUAAAGCAUUUCACUCUUCUAUAGAAAUCAAAUAUGAACAAUUUAUUCAGAUAGACUUUUAAUCAAAAAAGUUUUUCCAAUCUUCCAAAAUUGGACUUUUUCUUAUUUUAACCUUUUGAUUUCUAUAUUAAGGAUAGACUGACAAAGUUGGCCUAAUUUAUUAGUUUUCACUAACCCUAGAUUCUUUCCCUUGAUCAAAAAGAAAUUCUGUCCUCUCGUGCUCCAUCGUGUACUAUUUACUUUACUUACAAACAACCCAGCGCAAAUUCGGUUCGGGACGAAUAGAACAGACUAUGUCGAGCCAAGAGCAUUUUCAUUACUAUGGAAAAUGAUGGAUAGCAAAAUCCACAAUCGAUCAUGUCCUUCAAGUCGCACGUUGCUUUCUAUCACAUCGUUUUAAACGAAGUUUUACCAUAACAUUCCUCUAAUUUCAUUGCAAAAUGGUAUCGAGAAUUGAUCCAAUAUGGAUGGAAUCAUGAAUAGUCAUUGCUUUUGUAUACUAAUUCAAACCUGCUAUCUAUGGAGAAAAUUGGAUAAAAGAAAUAAGUAUUUAUCGGGGAACACU
rnacentral:lncRNA from 1 species